ensembl:lncRNA
AUUCAAAGUAACGAUGCCACGUUCACGUCACUUCAACCAAUCAGACGUUGUAAUGCCAAAACCCACGUGUGUCCAAAUUUAUUGCAUGUGGCGUCUGUCCAGUCACGUGUCUGUAGGUGGGUCUAAAAUGGAGGUUGUUGACGGAAAAACGGCUCUGAUGCGCUAGGUUGGCAUGGUAACUACCUGCUAUCGUGGCUACCGGCUACCGGCGAAAAUAACGGAGGAAAUCAGGACGGUAGCACUGGAAAACUGCUCUGCCUGCCGGGCCAGCGUGCCACUUUGCCUUGCUCAUACCACUAUGAGGACCAGAUGCAUAUUUUCCAGCUAUCCAUACAAUGGAGGAGUCCUCUCAAUGAGCUGCUGUGUCACUAUAUCAAACACAAAGCCUUUCAGAACUGCACGGCUGGCUACACAAUCAGCUACAGCCCAGGCAACAUCACGCUUACCAUCCUGCAGGUCAGACGGGAGGACUUUGGGACUCACAUUUGUUCAGUGAGCAAACGGCAUGAGUUCUCUGACUACAGCAUUGAGCUGGCCAGAAUGUCAGAGUCUGUUACUUCAGCACCAACGGGUGGAAUGAAUCAGUCAGGCCUGACCUGGAGACUAAUUAUUCUUCAUGCUUUGGCGUGCUUGUUGGUUUGCACAUAGAAGAGGAAAUUUAUAUAUUUAUAUACAUUAACAGACACAAACCUGUAAAUUUACAUAGAAUCUAAAUCCCACCUGUCCAGCAGAGACCUAAAUAAAAACUUUGCCAAAGGAUACGUGUGUGCUCAAUCUUUUUCCAGAGGAUGUGAGAUGUUACUGUCAUUCCUUUGAAUUAGGUUG